GUGGUACUUCCUCCGUUCGGAAUUACUUGUCUCGGAAAUGAAUGUAUCUAGAACUAAAAUACAUCUAGAUACAUCCAUUUUUGUGACAACUAAUUCCGAACGGAGGGAGUAGUUC
rnacentral:pre_miRNA from 1 species